AUGUCAGGGAAGCAAUACACAAUUCAUCCGAUCAGAUGGAUGACUUCGAACCAACUAAAACCAAGACCUGGAGACCUGAUUGAGAUUUCUCGCAUUGGUUAUGCACACUGGACCAUUUAUGUGGGAAAAGACUAUGUAGUUCAUCUGGCUCCUCCAAGUAAGAAGGGUUCUCUUUCUCUCUCUCUCUCUGUCUCUGUCUCUCUCUCUCUCAGCCUUAUGCAUCUUAGCCAAGCACUCUACUGCUGUGUUACAUCCUCAGCCCAUGAGUUCUCUUAAACAUGAAGGUUGAGAUCAAGAUUUUGCACAGAUACAAUUAUGUGCUGAUCAUCAUUUGGUCUCACAGAGUAGGCACUCAAUUAUAUUUAUAUUUGAUGAAUGAAUCAUACUGUUUCCUACUAGGUGUAUUAAUUUCUAUAACUUCCUAUCAGUAUGUAUAAUAUUACUAUUGAUUUUUAUUUUAUUACAUGAUGGGACUCUGUCCAAACCAAGGUGCUUGGUUGUUGAGUGUUCCUCCAUAGGUCCAAUGUCCUGUAUUUAUUGUUCUGGAGGGAAAAACAACAGUAAAAAGCAAUCACUCCCGUGAAAUAGUUUCCACCUGGCUGCAAAGUGUAGUAGAAGGAGUGUGGACCUCCAAACUGGACAGAAGCAGUUUAGAAUCCUGGCUGUUCUGCUUACUGACUUUGUGAACUUGAACAUGUGUUUUCGCCUCACUAUGUCUAGCUCUACCUUCUGAUAAGAGUUCCUUUUCUCCAGGUUGAGGGAGAAUGAAAUGAAGGAGUGCAUAGGAAAGCAGUGGUGUAGGGCUUGGCCAGGUGCUGAAGCAACCUUGCUUUCCAUCUGGAAAUGCUAUGGCAUUAAAGAAAAAGAUGAAACACUGAUAGGAAUAGUAAGAACUCUUCACAUAGAAUACAUAUACUGGCAAAAAAUGGAAUGCUGUAUAUCCACUGGAAGAAGUUGUACGCAGGUAUAUUUACACCGACACAAGCUCUAAGGUCUUGUAUAAAGUUCCAUCCUCUUCCAUGGAGUUUCUUCACAGGUAGGAUAGGAGUAUUGCAAAGAUUGGUUCAGGGAAUGAUCUAUUAGUUGGGUAAGCCCUUGUAUGGCUUCAGGUUUUGAAGUGUACUGAGGCACAUAGGAAGUGGUUUAGAAGAUCAGUAUGAAUUUUAUUGGGUAUGGCACAUUUGAUUCUUUCCCACAUCUGUAGAAGGGGAGGUCCAUAGAAUGCCAAGGAUUUUAGAGAGAUUUGUAAUAUCUAUUUUUAUGGACUAUGUUUUUAGUUUUUAGUCAGGGUCUCACUGUGUAACCUAGAACUUGCCAUUUGGUGCAGGCUGGCCUCAACACAUUCUCCUCCUGUCUUAUUUUUCUGAAUGCUGGGAAUAGAGAUGUGUGACAUUAAACUGACUACUUUAUGGAAUUCAGUAGUCUCCUCAGGACAAUAAAUUCAGGUCUUGAGGACA
rnacentral:lncRNA from 1 species